UAAGAGCUUAAAUAGAGCUGUACUGGCUUAUUAGCGGUUUACGUAUAAUCCAGUCCUCAAUAACUAUAUUAUGCGUUUAGAAAGACAACAUAUUCAUUUCCUUUAUCUUUUGCAGUAUCAUCAUGAUCAUUAUUAAUCAAUACACUUUAGACGCAGUAUAACAAAAGGAGUCCAUCUAUACCAUUUUCUUUAGGAAGCAUCAAAGUGGGCAUACAGGAAAAUCAUGUGGAGAUGGAUGCAUCAGAUGCCCCCAUAUUUCCAUUGGAAUCUACAAGACCCACCACUGCCACAACAAGCAACGCCAAUGAUAACAUCAACGAAAACAUCACAACAUGCACUGUCUGCACAACCAUCAGCUCCUCCGACUCCUCUUCUACCACCGCAACCCCCACCACCUCCCCCGCCACCGAUUCCUUUGAAAUUAGCAGCUGCAGAUGGAGGUGACUCGGAGGAGACGACUAGCAUCUUCCAGCGACUGGAAUUCAUCAUCUCGAUAUCUGUGAUCUCUGCUGUGAUCAUCAUCCUGGUCGUC